rnacentral:rRNA from 1 species
AUUGAACGCUGGCGGAAUGCUUUACACAUGCAAGUCGAACGGCAGCACGGGGCAACCUGGUGGCGAGUGGCGAACGGGUGAGUAAUACAUCGGAACGUGCCCAAUCGUGGGGGAUAACGUAGCGAAAGUUACGCUAAUACCGCAUACGAUCUACGGAUGAAAGCGGGGGAUCGCAAGACCUCGCGCGAAUGGAGCGGCCGAUGUCAGAUUAGGUAGUUGGUGGGGUAAAGGCUCACCAAGCCAACGAUCUGUAGCUGGUCUGAGAGGACGACCAGCCACACUGGAACUGAGACACGGUCCAGACUCCUACGGGAGGCAGCAGUGGGGAAUUUUGGACAAUGGGCGCAAGCCUGAUCCAGCAAUGCCGCGUGCAGGAUGAAGGCCUUCGGGUUGUAAACUGCUUUUGUACGGACGAAAGCUUCGGGCUAAUACCCUGAAGUCAUGACGGUACCGUAAGAAUAAGCACCGGCUAACUACGUGCCAGCAGCCGCGGUAAACACG